GUUACUAGUAAUCGCAGAUCAGAAUGCUGCGGUGAAUGCGUUCCCGGGUCUUGUACACACCGCCCGUCACACCACGGGCGUUGGAGACGCCCGAAGCCGAUUAUCUAACCUUUUGGAAGAAGUCGUCGAAGGUGGAAUCAAUAACUGGGGUGAAGUCGUAACAAGGUAGCCGUAUCGGAAGGUGCGGCUGGAUCACCUCCUUUCUAAGGAGA
rnacentral:rRNA from 1 species